rnacentral:rRNA from 1 species
GAUGAACGCUGGCGGCGUGCUUAACACAUGCAAGUCGAACGAAGCACUUGUUCACGAUCCCUUCGGGGUGACGAGCUUGUGACUGAGUGGCGGACGGGUGAGUAACGCGUGGGUAACCUGCCUCAUACAGGGGGAUAACAGUUGGAAACGACUGCUAAUACCGCAUAAGCCCACGACCUCGCAUGAGGUUGUGAGAAAAACUCCGGUGGUAUGAGAUGGACCCGCGUUAGAUUAGCUUGUUGGUGGGGUAACGGCCCACCAAGGCGACGAUCCAUAGCCGACCUGAGAGGGUGACCGGCCACAUUGGGACUGAGACACGGCCCAA